rnacentral:rRNA from 1 species
GGUAGGGGAGCGUUCUGUAAGCCGUUGAAGGUGUGUCGUGAGGCAUGCUGGAGGUAUCAGAAGUGCGAAUGCUGACAUAAGUAACGAUAAAGCGGGUGAAAAGCCCGCUCGCCGGAAGACCAAGGGUUCCUGUCCAACGUUAAUCGGGGCAGGGUGAGUCGACCCCUAAGGCGAGGCCGAAAGGCGUAGUCGAUGGGAAACGGGUUAAUAUUCCCGUACUUGGUGUUACUGCGAAGGGGGGACGGAGAAGGCUAUGUUGGCCGGGCGACGGUUGUCCCGGUUUAAGCGUGUAGGUGUGUGUUCCAGGUAAAUCCGGUUCACUUUAACACUGAGGCGUGAUGACGAGGCACCACGGUGCUGAAGCAACAAAUGCCCUGCUUCCAGGAAAAGCCUCUAAGCAUCAGGUAACAUCAAAUCGUACCCCAAACCGACACAGGUGGUCAGGUAGAGAAUACCAAGGCGCUUGAGAGAACUCGGGUGAAGGAACUAGGCAAAAUGGUGCCGUAACUUCGGGAGAAGGCACGCUGACACGUAGGUGAAGUGAUUUACUCAUGGAGCUGAAGUCAGUCGAAGAUACCAGCUGGCUGCAACUGUUUAUUAAAAACACAGCACUGUGCAAACACGAAAGUGGACGUAUACGGUGUGACGCCUGCCCGGUGCCGGAAGGUUAAUUGAUGGGGUCAGCGCAAGCGAAGCUCCUGAUCGAAGCCCCGGUAAACGGCGGCCGUAACUAUAACGGUCCUAAGGUAGCGAAAUUCCUUGUCGGGUAAGUUCCGACCUGCACGAAUGGCGUAAUGAUGGCCAGGCUGUCUCCACCCGAGACUCAGUGAAAUUGAACUCGCUGUGAAGAUGCAGUGUACCCGCGGCAAGACGGAAAGACCCCGUGAACCUUUACUAUAGCUUGACACUGAACAUUGAGCCUUGAUGUGUAGGAUAGGUGGGAGGCUUUGAAGCGUGGACGCCAGUCUGCGUGGAGCCGACCUUGAAAUACCACCCUUUAAUGUUUGAUGUUCUAACGUGGACCCGUAAUCCGGGUUGCGGACAGUGUCUGGUGGGUAGUUUGACUGGGGCGGUCUCCUCCUAAAGAGUAACGGAGGAGCACGAAGGUUGGCUAAUCCUGGUCGGACAUCAGGAGGUUAGUGCAAUGGCAUAAGCCAGCUUGACUGCGAGCGUGACGGCGCGAGCAGGUGCGAAAGCAGGUCAUAGUGAUCCGGUGGUUCUGAAUGGAAGGGCCAUCGCUCAACGGAUAAAAGGUACUCCGGGGAUAACAGGCUGAUACCGCCCAAGAGUUCAUAUCGACGGCGGUGUUUGGCACCUCGAUGUCGGCUCAUCACAUCCUGGGGCUGAAGUAGGUCCCAAGGGUAUGGCUGUUCGCCAUUUAAAGUGGUACGCGAGCUGGGUUUAGAACGUCGUGAGACAGUUCGGUCCCUAUCUGCCGUGGGCGCUGGAAGACUGAGGGGGGCUGCUCCUAGUACGAGAGGACCGGAGUGGACGCAUCACUGGUGUUCGGGUUGUCAUGCCAAUGGCACUGCCCGGUAGCUAAAUGCGGAAAAGAUAAGUGCUGAAAGCAUCUAAGCACGAAACUUGCCCCGAGAUGAGUCUUCCCUGAGACUUUGAGUCUCCUGAAGGAACGUUAAAGACGAUGACGUU